GACAGAGGGGGCAAGCGUUGCUCGGAAUUACUGGGCGUAAAGCGUGCGCAGGCGGCGCGUUAAGCCAGGUGUGAAAGCCCCGAGCUUAACUUGGGAAUUGCGCUUGUGACUGGCGUGCUGGAGUGUGGCAGAGGGAGGUGGAAUUCCACGUGUAGCAGUGAAAUGCGUAGAGAUGUGGAGGAACACCGAUGGCGAAGGCAGCCUCCUGGGCCAGCACUGACGCUCAUGCACGAAAGCGUGGGGAGCAAACAGG
rnacentral:rRNA from 1 species